rnacentral:lncRNA from 1 species
CUGGGGUCUCUGCAUUUACAGGGCCAUCAGUGGAGCAGAGGAGAUAGACCUUAUCUCAUUACACCUGUGCUGGGUUCUGUUGGUCAGUUUUCUCUUGCUAUGACAAAAUGCCAGAGCAAAACAGCCUGAAGGAGGGUUUAUUGUGGUUCACUGCUUUGGAGAUUGCAUCAGUCCAUAGCAGCUCACCUCACUGACAACUGGGAAGUAAAGCGGGGAGAACCAGGGGUGAGAUACAGUUUCCAAGGACACUCUCCCUUCACCAAGACCCUCCCCUGUGAGCCCUCAUGGCCUGGAUGGGACAGCACUCUGGCAGGACUAGGCCAGCUUGUUGCAGGAUUGAAGAAGAGGGACCCAGUCACAUUCCUGCGGGCAGCUUAGAGCAAGCAUCAUACAGAGGAUCUGGAUGCAGUCACAAAGGGUGAUCAUCCGUCUACCCAAGAGACAAACCAAGGUGGGGUAGCCUGGGGCUGGGCCAGCCUGGGUUUCCAUGACAGCUUGGCAAUGCUGGAGCCUGGCCUAGGUGAGGUGAGCGGAAGGCAACAGCAGAGGACGAAUUUCCCAGAAGCUUUAUAACAGCCUUUCCUGCUCUGAGAUGUUGUGGCCUCCUCCCAUGGACCCUACACAGCAAUGAGGCUCAGCCCAGGCCUGUAGGAGCCUCAGAAAGUGUUGCCAGCAGGCCCCAUCCUGAAGACCAGAGCGAUGGCUGCAUGGUGAUGCCUGGAUCCAGCCCUUCUUGUUCAGAAGAGAACACCAAGGGUCAGAGGGGCAGGACUGUACUUGGGUCACACUGGAAGAUGAUGACUAAGGUAUGACUCAGAUGGUGUCUCCUUGAUCCCAGGCCAGUCCUCGUGCAUUGCCUGUAAGGUCUCAGAUCUGUCUCCGCC